UCUUGAGAUGGUAAGAUUCUCCUGGAUUAUCUGGGUGGGCCCAACGUAAUCACAAGCUCCUUACAAGAGAAAAGCAGAAGUGAGGAGAGUCAGAGAAGAAGAUGGAAACAGAGUUUUGAGUGAUGGGGUCUGAAUGUGGAGGAGGGUGUCACAGCUCAUGGAGUACAGACAGCCCCUCAAAGCUGGAAGAGGCAAGGAACGUUAUUGUCCCCUGGUGCCUCUAGAAGAAAUGCAGCCAACACCUUGAUUUUGCCCUCAAAAGUCUCAUUUUGGACUUUUGAUCUUCAGGAGUAUAAGAUAGUACAUUUGUGUUAUUUUCAGCCAUGCAUUGUGUGGUGAUUUGUUCUAGCAGUCAUAGAAGACCAAUACAGAUGGCUUUCAUCACCUGGCCCUUGCUUAUUUCUCUUGUUCCAUCUGUCACCAAGACCCUGCUUUCUCUGAACCCUGUCCCUUUGGGAUUUUAUUCCAUAGGCGUGAUUGAUGAAAUCAUUGACAAUUGGUGAUUGAACGCAUGCUCCAGUCUAUGCUUCAUCCCUUUUCAAUGAUUUGUAGCUCCCAACAAGCAGGGUCCUUAGUUUAUGCUUUUUUUCUAUGAUCGUUUUCCUUGCCCCUUGCCUUCUCUCCUUUGUCUUACUACCUUUUCAGCCUGGGCUUUGAUGCAAGUUUCUCUGGGAAAACUUCACUGACUACUAGGACUGGGUUUGGUGCCCUUGCUAUAGACGGAUCCCCUUGCCACUUGUUUGUAGCACUGUUAAAUGCUUAACACACCGUAUUCCUGAAUUGUCCGGUUUGUAGUUAUCUCAGAGCUUAGCAUAUAUGUCAACAAAUGUUUGCAGAAUGAUCUUUCACUGGAAGUAGUGUAGCAGAGCUUGGCUAACUACAGAUGCUACAGUUACUAAGAUACAGAGAUACUAUAGAAUGGACCUUUACAGUGGUUGAGGAAAGGGACCCUAUCAUUUGAAAUGUCCUACAUAAACACUACCCAUCCCUUACAUUAAGGUACACGUAUUCACGCCACGAAGGAAGCCACACUUGAUACAAGCGGACAGUGAUGGUUAUGCUCCCAUCUAACAUAGCUUGCUUACAUUUACGGCCAGACUGAUGUCCUACCUGAUGUGCACUCCAAGUAAAAGUGGUUAAUGUCGACCAGGA